UGGAGUGCUCGAGUGGCGAACGGGUGAGUAACACGUGGGCAAUCUGCCCUGCACUCUGGGAUAAGCCUGGGAAACUGGGUCUAAUACCGGAUAGGACCUUUCUCCUCAUGGGGUUUGGUGGAAAGUUUUUCGGUGCAGGAUGAGCCCGCGGCCUAUCAGCUUGUUGGUGGGGUAAUGGCCUACCAAGGCGACGACGGGUAGCCGGCCUGAGAGGGUGAUCGGCCACAUUGGGACUGAGAUACGGCCCAGACUCCUACGGGAGGCAGCAGUGGGGAAUAUUGCACAAUGGGCGAAAGCCUGAUGCAGCGACGCCGCGUGAGGGAUGACGGCCUUCGGGUUGUAAACCUCUUUCAGUAGGGACGAAGCGCAAGUGACGGUACCUGCAGAAGAAGCACCGGCUAACUACGUGCCAGCAGCCGCGGUAAUACGUAGGGUGCGAGCGUUGUCCGGAAUUACUGGGCGUAAAGAGCUCGUAGGCGGUUUGUCACGUCGUCUGUGAAAUCCUAGGGCUUAACCCUGGACGUGCAGGCGAUACGGGCUGACUUGAGUACUACAGGGGAGACUGGAAUUUCUGGUGUAGCGGUGGAAUGCACAGAUAUCAGGAAGAACACCGAUGGCGAAGGCAGGUCUCUGGGUAGUAACUGACGCUGAGGAGCGAAAGCAUGGGUAGCGAACAG
rnacentral:rRNA from 1 species